UUUAAGUAAGAAAAUCUAUGGCACGAUUUCUGAAAUUUACAACUCAUAUCUAAUAACUUUAGUUGUAGUAUAAAGAUUUAUACUUGCCGAGCUCUCCUCUUUUUGAAACUAAAUAUAAUGACCACCAACAUGUAGACAAAGUGAAAAAGAUUAUUUCCAAGCAUUAUCUACGUGCGAUAAAAAAGCGAAUAAGUAACAAAGAAAGAAAACAUAUUAAGAAUAUUAUAGUUUGUAAGUAACUUACCCAGUUGAAUACCAUAAAGACUCGAUGUGGACAAAUGGGCAGAGUACGGCCACUUCAAUCAUAUGCCUUUUUUUGGGGGGUUAGGAAUUGCACUUGAGGAGGUUGAAAAGGUUACUGCUCUGGAAUUGAUGGAAAGCAAAACUGGAAAGCUCCACCACCAUAAGGAGUUUUAGAUGUCCCUUAAUCCAUAACCUAAUUUUUCUCAUAAUUGAGUAGUAAUUACAUUUUGUUUAUAUUCCAUAACUGAAAAUUUCAUCCGUAAACCUCAUUUAUUUUCCUUAUUAGUUCAUUUUCCUAGGUAGUAAAUGAGUUUUUUUUUGUAUUUAAAUGAGAGAUAAUAUCUCAAAAAAAAAAAAGAGAAAAUAAAUAUAUUGUGUGUGUAUUUCUUUGAGUAAAAAAAUAAAAAUUUCUGGAGUCCUAUGCUAUGACAUUAUCACAGAAAGAAAACAUACGGUGCUAGUGUGUGAUUGACAUCAGGAAAUUAAAGUGUUUAAAUAAUUCAAAAUGAAAUGUCAAUAUAAAAAAAAUAGGAAAAAUGCAUAAGUACCCGUUGACCUAUAGUCGGAUUUUCAACUACACAUUUUAUCUUUGCAGGAAUGCUAUUAUCCCUAGAACUAUUUUUAAAUGAAAUUAGUAUACUCUUAGUGCUUAUGUGACAGAAGAGAGUGUAUGCCACCCUGCUUCAGAGCGAGAAAGAGAGAAUGCUGAAAAUUUAUUUUUAUAAGUAACAUUUUUAUAAAAUAUACUAUUUUCUAUUAUUUUUUUCUUUUCUCUUAUUUUUCUUUUUCUUUUCCUUUUCUUUCCUCCUGCUUUGUAACUUAUAGAUUGGCCGGGAACUAGCUCUAGCAUUCUCCAUUUUUCCGGCGAGAUCGAGUUAGAAAAUUUUAUUCUUUCCUCUCCAUAUUUCACUACAUUUUAUAGAGGAUUACUGCAAUUUCUAAUCUCUUUACUCACCACUUUUAAACUUACAAUUGCAAUUGCUUCUCAUAGAAAGAAAUGAAAAAAUCUCAUCCAAGAUCAAUUUCUGAUUAAAUCCAGAAGAAGCCCACAAAAGAUUGAACAAGAAGAAGGUUUUUGAUUGUUAGUUGCAAAAAAUAUUCUCGUCAUGCUCGUCGUUUCCCGAUGAGGCCUUCAUCCUUUCACUACUUCAGGUAAUGAGGUGGGGGAGGGGAGUCCUAUUUUUUAAAUUAAUCAAUUUUACAUAAAAGAUAGAACAAGGAAAAAGAAUUUGGUUGUUGAUUGUUGAUUGCUAGAAAGUUUUUUAGGAACUCACCGUUUUUCGAUCUGUUUCUUCAACCAAAACAAAUCUGCUGCUUCACUUGUGGGUUGGGGGAUGGAAGAAGGUGGGAUGUGUGAAAAGGGAAAAAGAAUUUUAAAAAAUAUAAAAAGUGAGUUGGGAAAAGAAGUUGAUGGGAAAAAAAUAAGAAAACAACGAUUUUAAUGGAAAAUACAUGUGUGAGGCGCGUGUAUUUUAUCACCAAUCAUAGAUAUGGUAGUGACAUUUUAGAG
rnacentral:lncRNA from 1 species